UACGAGGGGUGCAAGCGUUGCUCGGAAUCACUGGGCUUAAAGCGUGUGUAGGUGGAUGGGUAAGUACCUUGUGAAAUCCCACGGCUCAACCGUGGAACUGCUUGGUAUACUGCCUGUCUUGAGGCACUCAGGGGCGAGCGGAACAAAUGGUGGAGCGGUGAAAUGCGUAGAUAUCAUUUGGAACGCCAAUGGUGAAAACAGCUCGCUGGGAAUGAUCUGACACUGAGACGCGAAAGCCAGGGGAGCGAACGGG
rnacentral:rRNA from 1 species